CCUACGGGAGGCAGCAGUAGGGAAUAUUGCUCAAUGGGGGAAACCCUGAAGCAGCAACGCCGCGUGGAGGAUGAAGGUUUUCGGAUUGUAAACUCCUUUUGUUAGAGAAGAUAAUGACGGUAUCUAACGAAUAAGCACCGGCUAACUCCGUGCCAGCAGCCGCGGUAAUACGGAGGGUGCAAGCGUUACUCGGAAUCACUGGGCGUAAAGAGCGCGUAGGCGGGAUAGCAAGUCAGAUGUGAAAUCCUAUGGCUUAACCAUAGAACUGCAGUUGAAACUGUUAUUCUAGAGUAUGGGAGAGGUAGGUGGAAUUCUUGGUGUAGGGGUAAAAUGCGUAGAGAUCAAGAGGAAUACUCAUUGCGAAGGCGACCUGCUAGAACAUAACUGACGCUGAGGCGCGAAAGCGUGGGGAGCAAACAGGAUUAGAUACCCGAGUAGUC
rnacentral:rRNA from 1 species